UGACCCUCAGGGGUCACCUAGCCAACUGACGUUGUUUGUGAGUUUUCACUCACUGAAACACUGUAGCCAACCUGUCAUUUAGGUUGGCUUUUUUUUA
rnacentral:sRNA from 1 species